rnacentral:rRNA from 1 species
AUUGAACGCUGGCGGCAUGCCUUACACAUGCAAGUCGAACGGUAACAGGUCUUCGGAUGCUGACGAGUGGCGAACGGGUGAGUAAUACAUCGGAACGUGCCUAGUAGUGGGGGAUAACUACUCGAAAGAGUGGCUAAUACCGCAUGAGAUCUACGGAUGAAAGCAGGGGAUCGCAAGACCUUGUGCUACUAGAGCGGCCGAUGGCAGAUUAGGUAGUUGGUGGGAUAAAAGCUUACCAAGCCGACGAUCUGUAGCUGGUCUGAGAGGACGAUCAGCCACACUGGGACUGAGACACGGCCCAGACUCCUACGGGAGGCAGCAGUGGGGAAUUUUGGACAAUGGGCGAAAGCCUGAUCCAGCAAUGCCGCGUGCAGGAUGAAGGCCUUCGGGUUGUAAACUGCUUUUGUACGGAACGAAAAGCCCCGGGUUAAUACCCUGGGGUCAUGACGGUACCGUAAGAAUAAGCACCGGCUAACUACGUGCCAGCCGCCGUAAAAC